rnacentral:rRNA from 1 species
UACACACCGCCCGUCACACCAUGGGAGUUGGAUUCACUCGAAGGCGUUGAGCUAACCCGUAAGGGAGGCGAGGCGACCACAGGUGGGUUUAGCGACUGGGGUG